rnacentral:rRNA from 1 species
CAUGCAGUCGAGCGAAUCACUUCGGUGGUUAGCGGCGGACGGGUGAGUAACACGUGGGCAACCUGCCUGUAAGACUGGGAUAACACCGGGAAACCGGUGCUAAUACCGGAUAAUCCUUUUCCUCUCAUGAGGAAAAGCUGAAAGUCGGUUUCGGCUGACACUUACAGAUGGGCCCGCGGCGCAUUAGCUAGUUGGUGAGGUAACGGCUCACCAAGGCGACGAUGCGUAGCCGACCUGAGAGGGUGAUCGGCCACACUGGGACUGAGACACGGCCCAGACUCCUACGGGAGGCAGCAGUAGGGAAUCUUCCACAAUGGACGAAAGUCUGAUGGAGCAACGCCGCGUGAGCGAUGAAGGCCUUCGGGUCGUAAAGCUCUGUUGUUAGGGAAGAACAAGUACCGGAGUAACUGCCGGUACCUUGACGGUACCUAACCAGAAAGCCACGGCUAAC